rnacentral:lncRNA from 1 species
ACAGUCGCCAGAUCCAGUUCCAAGUGCCGAACCGAACGCGGAGCCAGGAGGUGAGCUUGCGGUGCAGACAGAGCAGGGGGGCAGCACCCGCCACACCAGCUCUUACAGCCCCGUCAUACUCUUGUGGCCCUCGGGUACCCCCUCUCCCUCCCGCCCACUCCCGUGGCGCUACGGCUUUUUAUCCGCCCCUGCGCCGGCGCGGGCAUCGCUCCGCGUCCCCCCGCCCCCUAAGCCCGAACCCCUUUCCACUGCCAACACCUCACCUCGCCCCCGCCGCCAUCUUCCUCCUCCCUUGGCAGCCCCGCCCUAAAAAUAAAUAAUUUUAAAAAGCAUUCAUUUUAUACUAUCUCUUGAACACUGUUCAGCAGGGUAGAUUCCAUUUUGAUGAUUAUUUUCAUCAGCACUUGGAAUAUACUGUUCCACUGUGUGUGGUCGUGAUUGCUGCAGUUGUGAAGUUUGCUCUCAAUCUAAUCAGAGUCCCUUUACAGUUAUGCCUUUUUAAAAGUGCUUUUAGUGUUUUUUUCUUUGAUAAUUUACAAUUUAAUUUUAAUGUUUCUUUUUUUAACAGUGUUAUUGAGGGAUGAUUGACAUACACUAAACCGCGCAUAUUGAAAGUGCAAAAUUUGAUGUGUGUUUAUGCUUGUGAAACCAUCACUACAGUUAAGAUAAUAAACAGAUCGGCCAGGCUCAGUGGCUCACGCCUGUAAUCCCAGCACUUUGGGAGGUGAAGGCGGGUGGAUCAUGAGGUCAGGAGUUGGAGACCAGCCUGGCCAACAUGGUGAAACCCCGCCUUUACUAAAAAUACAAAAAUUAGCCAGGCGUGGUGGCACACGCCUGUAAUCCCAGCUACUCGGGAGGCUGAGGCAGGAGAAUCGCUUGAACCCGGGAGGCAAAGGUUGCAGUGAGCCGAGAUUGCGCCACUGCACUCUAGCCUACGUGACAGAGCAAGACUCCGUCUCGGGGAAAAAAAAAAAAAAAGAUAAUAAACAUAUUCAUCACCCUAGUCUCUCCUUGUGCCCUUUGUAAUCCUUCCCUCCACUUCUCCACCCUCAGCCUGUCCCCAGGCAACCACUGACAUACUUUCAGUUAUCAUAGGUUAGUUUGCAUUUUCUAUAAUUUUAUAUACCUGGAAGCAUAGUGUAUGUCCUCAUACUUUUGUGAGCUCUGGCUUCUUUGCUUCAGCGAAGUUAUUUUAAGAUUCAUCCAUGUUUUUGGCAGUAUCAACAACCCAUUUCUUUCUAUGGCUGAAGAGUCUUCAAUUUUAUCAGUAAACGCAAUUUGUUAAUGCAUUCAGGAGUUGAUGAACAUUUGGAUUGGUUCCAGCUUUUGGUUAUUACAAAUAAAGCUGUUAUAAACAUUUGCAUACAAACCUUUAUAUAGACAUAUGCUUUUCUCUCUCUAGGAGUGGAAUGGCUGGAUCAUAUGGUAGGUGUAUUUAGCUAUUUAAUAAACUGCCAAACUGUUUUCCAAAGUGGUUGUGCCAUUUUUACCUUCCCAUGAGCAGUGUAGGAGGUUUCUAAUUUCUCUACAUCCUUGCCAUCACUUGGUAUAUCAGUCUGUUUAAUUUUACACCUUCUAGCAGGUGUGUAGUGGUAUCAACUUGUAGUUUCAAUUUGCAUCUCUUUAUUGAAUAAUGAUAUUAAGCAUCUUUUCCUGAUCUUGUUUGCCAUCAAUAUUUCUGUUGGUGAAGUGUCUGUUCAAAUCUUUCGUUCCUCUUUUUAUUGCAUGUUUGCAUUUUAUUAUUGAGGUUCAAGGGUUUUAUAUGUUCUGCAUAGAAGUCCUUUACAGAUACGUGAUUUAAAAAUACGUCCUCUUGAUCUAUGUCUUUUCAUUCUCUUAACAGUGUAUUUUGAAGAGUGGAAGUUUUUAAUUUUGAUGAAAUGCAUAUUAUCAAUUUGUUCUCUUAUGAAUUAUGCUUUUUAUGUUGUAUCCAAGGUCACAAAGAUUUCUGCUCUAUUUUCUUCUAAAAAUGUUAUAGUUUAAGGUCUAUGAAUUCCUUUGAAUUAAAGUUUGUAUAUGCUGUGAGGUACGAAUCAAAGUUCACUUUUUUGGGGAUUCAGCAUCAUUUGUUGAAAAGACAAUACUUUCUCCAUUGAAUUGUCUUUGUACUUUGUCAAGAAUCUAUUGGCCAUAUAUAUGUGAGUCUAUUUCUGGAAUCUCUAUUGUGUUUCAUUGAUCUAUUUGUCUAUAUGUAUGGCAAUACCAUACUGUUUUAAUAUAGCUUUAUAUUUAGCCUUGAAAUCAGAUAAGUAAGUCCUCCAACUUUAUUCUUCUUUUGCAAAGUUAUUUUCACUAUUCUAGGUCCUUCAUUUUUUCCAUAUAAAACUUAAAGUUCAAUUAUUGAUUUUCACUUUUAAAAGCCUUCUGGAAUUUUGAUUGAUAUUCAAUUGAUCUAUAACUCAACUUGGGAGAAUUGACAUCUUAACAACUUCAAGUCUUCCUGUCCAUGAACAUGGUACAUGUUCCAUUUAGUUAGGUCUUCUUUAAUUUCUCUCAGCAAUGUUUUGCAGUUUUCAAUGUACAAGUCUUCCACAUGUUUUAUUUGGUUUAUGGCUAACAAUUUUAUAUUUGUUAAUGGUAUUGGAAAUAACAUUUUUAAAAUUUCAAUUUCUGAUUGUUUUAUAUAAAAAUACCCUUGAUUUGUGUAUAUUAAUCUUGAACUCUGCCACCUUGCUAACUCACUUAUUAGUUCUAAUAGCUUUUAUUUCAUGGAUUCCAUGGACUGGUGUACACAAAUGAUAAGGAAAGUGUUACUCUUUCCAAUCUAGAUGAUUUAUUUCUUUUUCUUGCCUUAUUUCAUGAGUUAGAACCUCCAGUACAAUGUUUAAUAAAAGUGAUGAGAGUAGAUAUCUUUACCUUGUUCUCAAUUUUAGGAAGACAUAGAUUUUUGUGUAGAUGGCCUGCAUCCUAUGAGGACUCUUCAUUUUAUCCCUGGUUUUGUGAGGGCUUUUAAUCAUGACUCAAUGUUGGGUUUUACUAAGUGCUUUUUCUAUUAAGAUGAUCAUAUGCAUUUUUCUUUUUAGUCCACUAAUAUGGUAAAGUUCAUUUAUUGAUUUUUGAAUGUUAAAUCAACUUUAUCUUCCUGCAAUAAAGUACACUUUGUCAUGAUAUAGAUGAACUAGAUUUGCUAAAAUUUUAGUAAGAAUAUUUUCAUCAUUGUUCAUGAGGGUUAUUGGUCUCUGUUGUUGUUUCUUAUGAUGUCUGUUUGAUUUAGUAAGAAAGUAAUGCUAUCUUCAUCAAAUAAAGGAAAGACCUUUUCCUUUUCUAUUGUCUGGAAGGAUUUGCGUAGAAUUGUUAUUGUUUCCUUAAAUAUUGUUAGACUUCACCAUGAAAACCACCUGGGCCUUUAGUUUUCUUUGUCAUUAGGAUUUUAAUUAAAAACUUGAUUUUGUCAAUAGAUACUCUUGUUAUCUAUUUCUUCUUGAGUGAACUUUGAUAGUUUAUGCCCUCCAAGGAAUGUGUUCAUUUCAUCUAAGUUAUCAAAUUUAUUAGAAAAAAAUGGCUUACAGUAGUCCAUUGUUUCCUUAUAAUUACUGUAGAAGAUUUGGUGACACCCACCCUUUCAUUCCUGGUAUUGGUAAUUCGUGCCUUUUUACUUUUUUCUUGAUCAGCUGACUAGAAGUCUAACAAUUUAAUUGAUUGUUUAAAAUGAUUAGCAUUUACUUUCUUGGAUUUUUCUUAUAAUUUUCCCUUUUUUCUUUCAUUGAUUUCUGUUUUUUUUAUUAUUUUCUUUAUCUGCUUACAUUGUGUUUAAUUUGCUCUUCUCUUUCCAGUUUCUGAAGGUGAAAACUCAGGUCACUGAUUUGAGACCUUUCUUUUUUGUUAUAAUAUAGGAUCUUAGUGCUUAAAUUUGCCUCCAAGCAUACAUUAGCUGCAACUCCCUGAUUCUGAUAUAUCGUGUUUUCAUUUUCAGCUCAAUGAACUUUCCAAUUUCUCUUUUGAUUUCUUAUUUGAAUAAUAUACUUUGGCUCUAUGUCUCCACCCAAAUCUCACCUUGAAUUGCAAUCCCCAUAAUCUCCAGGUGUCAAGGGUGGGACUGGGUGGAGGUAAUUUAAUUAUGGGGGUGGUUCCCCCCAUGCAAUCUGAUGGUCUGAUUUUUUUUUUUUUUUUUUUUUUUUUUUUGCAACAUUGCCCUUUGAUGUCCCCAUGAGGGCCAGGCCCAGGCAGAACCCAUCCCAUUUUAUCCUUAAACUCAGAAGGAAAUUUGUCUAAAUAUUAAAGGAUUAAUAUGGGAAUAAAAAAUGAACCUUAAACCCUGCCACUGAUACACAAGCUGUCUCUCUUAGAGUUCAAUGAACACUUCAGGAGAGUAUUUCCAACAAUAUUUAGAUAUUGGAAUAUCUAAAUAUUGUUGAUUUAGAUAACCACCCUAGAUUUCUCACCACCCUAGAACAUUUAGUGGGGAGACAUUCUUUUCUCCUUUUUCUGAUAACUUGGUCAGAAGUGAUUGACUGUGCAAAUGGUAUUUCUCAGCUAAAAUCUCCCUUACGAACCCUUCCUCGAAAUCCCCAAGGUCUCCUCUCUUUCUUAAGUAGGUAACAGCUAAUUUGAAUAUUGAUUCAUCAGUAUCCCUGUGUCUACACCAAGUUCAAACUGAAGAUCUCCUUGAGGUGCUUGACUCCUUGUGGGCCUAAAAAUUGUGCUGAGAAUUUGGGGGGAGGGACAAUUUCAUUAAGUUCAGUUUAAUCCAUGCAAACUUAUAAAAACCAAGCUUGCACAAUGUUGUCUAACAACAGAAGCUAAAGAAAGUCUAAAACCAGAAGUCAAAAGCCUAAAAGCAAAAGGACUCAUCAUGCCUUGUACCAAUCCUUAUAAUACUCUUACCAUCCUAAUAAUAAAACCCCAUGUGAGGACGAGCGUGGUGGCUCACGCCUGUAAUCCCAGCACUUUGGGAGGCCGAGGCAGGUGGAUCACGAGGUCAUGAGAUCAAGACCAUCCUGGCUAACACGAUAAAACCCUGUCUCUACUAAAAAUGCAAAAAUUACCCAGGUGUGAUGGCGUGUGCCUGUAGUCCCAGCUACUCAGGAGGCUGAGGCAGGAGAAUUCCUUGAACCCAGGAGGCAGAGGUUGCAGUGAGCCGAGAUCGCGCCACUGCACUCCAGCCCAGGCGACCGAGUGAGACUCCAUCUCAAAAAAAAAAAAAAAAACAAUGCGAGAAUAUACAUUUGUUCAUGACCUCAGCCUCAUAGUUAUUCCUCAUACACUUGGAAAACCAAAUUUAUAUAUAAUCUUAUUUUUAGUCCUAUUUGAGGCUGUAUUUUUUUUUUUUUUGAGACAGAGUUGCUGAGGCUGGAGUGCAGUGGCACAAUCUCAGCUCACUGCAGCCUCCACCUCCUGGGUUCAAGCAAUUCUCCUGCCUCAGCCUCCCGAGUAGCUGGGAUUAUAGGCAUGUGCCACCACACCCAGCAAAUUUUUUGUAUUUUUAGUAGAGACAGGGUCUCAAACUCCUCACCUCAGAUGAUCCACCUGCCUCAGCCUCCCAAAGUGCUGGGAUGAGCCACCAUGCCUGGUCUGAAGCUGUAUAUUUUCUAGCUCUAAAUAUAUGUUCUGUGUUCCUAAGUGUCCCUAGACAUGAUUUAUAUUUUAAUUGAGAACCAACAUUGUACCUGGACUCCUAAGCCUCAGGGAUUUACUGAAAUACCAUUCUAUUUUAUAAUAAUCCUUAACCAAGAAUUUUAAGGAUCUUAAAUUUUUCUGUGGUUCUAUUGUUAUCUGAUAUAUAGAUGAUCUGCUGCCAUAUCCUAAAGAGCAGGUGAGGCCGGGUGUAGUGGCUCACGCCUGUAAUCCCAGCACUUUGGGAGGCAGACGAAGGUGGAUCACCUAAGGUCAGGAGUUUGAGACCAGCCUGGCCAACAUGGUGAAACCCCAUCUCUACUAAAAAUACAAAAAUUAGCUGGGUGUGGUGGUGGGCACCUGUAAUCCCAGCUACUAGGAAGGAUGAGGCAGGAGAAUCACUUGAACCCAGGAGGCGGAGGUUGCAGUGAGCUGAGAUUGCACCAUUGCACUCCAUCCUGGGCAACAAGAGCAAAACUUCAUCUCAAAAAAAAAAAAAAAAAAAAAAAGAACAGAUGAGUUCCAGGAAUGUUUUAAAAAGAUAGAAUUUUUAAAGGAAAGUAACAAAACCAAUGCACUUGGUUUUGUCAAAACCAAGUGCAUUACCAAAGAUAGAUUUUUCUAAAGAAGGCAAAUCCCUUUCUCCCAACAAACUAUAGCUCUUUUAAGACUUUCCUAGGCUAGUAAUUAGGAUACAUUUAAAAAGAUCCUGAGGCUUCCUAACUACUGCAAAAAGUGGGUCCCUACUGUUUCUGAAAUCAGCUCAGCCAAGCCUUCACUAAUUGACUCCUUUUGUUUGCAAACUAAACAUAAAGAGGUAUUUUGUAAUUUAAAAUCAGUCCUUCAAUAACCUGUCCAGGACCUCUCUCCCCUUGCCUACCUAAACAUGAUUCUCUAGCUUUUCACGUAUGAGUAGAAGUCCCUGGUGUGAUGUGUGAACUUCAUGGGAGGCAUCUGAGACUCACUGCUUUCGGGCAGCCUUUCUGUUGAUUCAGUAGCAAAAGGCUCAUACUUUAUCUAAGUCUAAUAGCAGAAUCAGCUGAGCUAGUGCAGGCUUCUGGCCACUUGGUUCUCGGGUUUAGUCUUCCCUAUACUUAGUGGUCUCUGCUAUGGUUUGAAUGUGUCCCCUCCAAAAUCAAGGUAUUGCCAAUGUGAUAGUAUUAAGAGGUGGUGCUUUUAUGAGAUGAUUAGGCCAUAAGACCUGCUUCUUUGUUAAUGGGACUAAGUCCCUUUUAAAAGAGGCAUUUCCUAGCAUUAGUUUCUUCUCUCUUGCCCUUCCACCUUCUUCCAUGUGAGGAUGCAGCAAGAAAGCUCUCAUCAUUUGUCAGCAUCUUGACCUUGGACUUCCCAGCCUCCAGAACUGUAAGAGAAUUAAUUUAUCUUCUUUAUAAAUUAUCCAGUCUCUGUUAUUAAAAUAGCUAGAUAUUCUAUUAUAGCAGCACAAAUGUUCUAAGACAAAAAUUGGUACCAGAGAAGUAAGGUGUUGUUAUGAAAAAUACCUAAAAACGUGGACGUGGAUUUGGAACCAGGUAAUGGGGAGAGAGGAUGGCACAGUAUUGAAGUUAAUGCUAGAAAAAACCUAAAUUGCCAUGAACUGAGCACUAAGGGCAAUUUUGGUGAGGGCUCGGAAGACAAAAGCUGUAGGGAAAUCCUGAAUCUUCUCAGAGAUUAUUUAAGUGGUCAUGACAGUGAAGUUUCUUCUAAUGAGGUCUCAGAUGGACAUGAGGAACAAGGUAUUGGAGACUGGAAGAAAGGUCAUUCUUGUUAUAAAGUGUCAAAGAACUUGGCUGAAUUAUGUCCAUAUCCUAGGACUUUAUGGAAGGUGGAACUUAAGAGCAAUGAACUUACGAAUGAAGAAAUCUCUAAGCAGUAAGAACUUAGAAUGGCUUCUUUUCUUUUUUUUCCUCUCUUUUUUUCUUUUCUUUUCUUUUUUUUUUUUUUUUUUUGAGACAAGUCUCAUUCUAUCACCCAGGCUGGAGUGCAGUGGCGUGAUCUUGGCUCACUGCAACCUCCACCUCCUAGCUUCAAGCAAUUCUCCUGCCUCAGCCUCUCAAGUAGCUGGGAUUAAAGGUACACGCCACCACGUCCAGCUAAUUUUUGUAUUUUUAGUAGAGAUGGGGUUUCAGCAUGUUGGCCAGGCUGGUCUCCAACUCCUGAUCUCAGGUGAUCCGCCCACCUCAGCCUCCCAAAGUGCUGGGAUUACAGGCAUGAGCCACCGUGCCCAGCCUCAGAAUGGUUUCUUUUAACUGCUUUUAGUAAAGUGCAAGAAGAGAGAAACUAUUUACACAGAUGGAAUUUAUAAUUUAAAAAUAAGCAGAAUAUAAAGGUUAGUGAUUUAUUAAAACUACAUGUCUUAUCUGUUGCCAGCAUCAUGUAGGCACAACUCAAAAAUGGGACAUGAACAAGAGCAUAAGCUUCAGAGAGCGUUUGAACAACUACAGAUGAUCACUACACACUCAGUAGAUUUUAAACGUGUUCUUCUCAUUGUUCAUUUAUUUUGGGGAUUGAAUUGAAGCAUUUCCUUUCUGAAUACUUUCAGUUCCAAUGGCAGCAAAAAUAUUACUUGAUUUUGUGUUCCCAACCUACAAAAUUCUAACCCAUUUUUCAAGUGACAGAAAAAAACCAUUGUACUGGCACUGUCAUUAAAAACCUUUACAAAACCUUAACACUUACUCAGAAACUUCACUGCCCAUAUCAGCUUCACUAUUCAAGAAAGAUUAAAAAAAAAAAAAAAGAAGAUUCAGAAACUAAAAUCAGGAAAGCUCUCAGAAACCUUCAAAAUUCCAUAGCCCGAGGUAUUGCCAUGGCUUUAAUGUCAAUGCCAUCAAUUUCUUUGAGGUUCAUAAACUCUUCCCUUAUACAUUAGUAACAGACUGGCCUACACAAAUAUCUACAAAUGUCACCUCUGAUUGUAGACUCUAACAUAUUGCAAAUGGAUACUGCGAAAUAUUGCAAGGAAUUAAUGCAACACAUUCAACCUUAUGAUCCACAGGCACAGGCAACCUUUUCUCAUAAUCUUCCUAAAAACUUGCAUGAUCGUAAACCUGAAGAUCUGGUGUUCUGACUUAAAGAAAUAAGAGAAAAAGCUCUAGAACACGAAUGAAAAAGUUGAUAUCAAAUACUGCUAAUAAUGGACACAAGAGGGCAACUCCAAUAUAUUGAUCCUUAAAGUCUUUUAAUUAAAGAGGCAUAAAUAAUCUUAGAAUCCCUGGAAAGAUGUCCUAAUCAGAAACUUCAAAGAUAAUUAUUUGUGGACCCCUCUAGAAACAGUCUUGAAAGAAACAGAAUCCAGCGAAGAUUUUUGGAUCAAGUUGACAACUGUGUUUAGUAGACAGUCUAUGCUUAUCUAUGGAACAAGAUGUAGAUGACCAAACCUUCAGAUUCUCAUGCUUUAAUCUGAAUGCUUUUGUUCAUUACCUUUUAGGUAUUUUCUUCUGCUGUUGGGUGUGUGUGUGUGUGUGUGUAUGCACAUAUCAGCUUUAUUGAGAUAUAAUUUACAUUCUGUACACUUCAGUAAUUUAAAGUGUAUAUAAAUACAAUGUUUUUAGUCCAUUCACAGAGUUGUAUGACUAUCCCCACAAUUAAUUUUAGAACAUUUUCAUCAUUCCCCAAAGAAGCCCUGUACCCACUUACAGUCACUCCCCUGUUCUCUCAUCAUCUCUAGCCAUAAGUAACCAGUAAUCUACUUUAUGUCUGUAUAGAUAUUCCUGUUCUGGACAUUUCAUAUGAGUGAAAUCAUACAAUAUUGAACUUUUAUUAUUUGGUUUCUUUCACUUGGCAUCAUAUUUUUAAGGUUCAUCCAUAUUGUAGCAUGUAUUAGUACUUCAUUUUUUUACCCGAAUACUACAUUUUAUGAAUAUCCCACGUUUUAUUUGCCUGUUUAUCAGUUGAUCAACAUUUAGAUUGUUUGCACUUUUUGGAUGUUAUUAAAAUAGUGUACAAUGAAAACUUGUGUACAAGUUUUUAUGUGGACAUACGUUUUUAUUUCUCUUGUGUAGACACCUGGAAGUAAAACUAAUGGACCAUAUAGUAUCCCUUUGUUUUUUUAUUAUAGCCAUACCAGCAGUUGUGAAGUGAUAUAUCAUUGUAAUUUUGAUUCAGAUUUAAUUGACAGCUAAUAAUGUUGAGCAUCUGUUAUUAUACUUAUUUGUCAUUUGUAUACCUUCUUCAAAGAAAUGUCUAUUCAGAUCAUUUUUUGUAGAUGUUCUUUAUCAUGUUGAGAAAGUUCUCUUCUAUUCCUAGUUUGUUGAGUUGUUUUUUCCCCUAUCCUUAAUGGGUGCUGGACUUUGUCAAUUCAUUUUUCUACAUCUAUUCAAAUGGUCACAUGGUUUUGUCCUUUAUUCUGUUAAUCUGAUAUAUUAUAUUAAUUGGUUUUCAGAUGCCAAACCAAUCUUGCAUUCUUGGAACAAACUCCACUUGGAAUGGAAUAUAACCUUUUUAUUUGUUGCUGGAUUUGGUCUACAAGUACUUUUUGAGGAUUUUUGCACAUAUAUUCCUAAAAUAUAUUGUUCUGUAGUUUUCUUUUUUGUGCUAUCUUUGUUUGGUUUUGGUAUCAGGAUAAUACUAGCCUCACAGAAAGAGUUGGGAAGUGUCUGCUCCUCCUCUCUACCUUUUGAGAAGAAUUGGUACUAAUUCUUCUUUAAAUUUUUGGUUUUAUUAAGCAUUAAAGCCACCCAGGGCUGAGCUUUUUUGUGUGUGGAAAAUUUGAAAAUUACUAAUUUAACCUAUUUAUUUAUUACAGGUCUAUUCAGAUAUUCUAUUUUUUUCUUGAGUAAUCUUUAGUAGUUUAUGUCUUUCUAGGAAUUUGUCAAUGUUGUCUAUGUUGUCUAACUUAUUGGCAUACAGUUUUUUGUAGUAUUCCCUCAGUAUUCUUUUUAUUUCCAUAAGGUCUGUAGUAAUGUUCCCCCUUUCACUCCUGAUUUUAAUAAUUUGAGCCUUCUCUCUUUUUCUCUUGCUCAUCCUUGUGAAAAGUUUGUUAAUUUUGUUGAUGUUUUCAAGGUACCAACUUUUAGAUUUGUUUAUUCUACCUAUUGUUUUUGUAUUCUCUCCUUUAUUUUUCACUUAACAUUUUAUUAGUUCUUUCCUUCUGCUCACUUUAGGUUUAGUUGCUCUUCUUUUUCCAGAAUUGUAUGUGGAAGAUUGGGUUUAUUUAUAUGAGCCCUUACUUCUUUUUUAGAUACAAACAUUUAAAUAAUAAAUUUCCCUUUAUGCACCAUUUCACUGCAUUCAAUACAUUUUCGUUUGUUGGGCCCUCAUUCUACAUAAUCUUAAAGUAUUUUCUAAUUGACUUUGUAGUUUCUUCCUUGUCCCAUUAUUUAUUUAAGAGUGUGCUGUUUCCUUCUGUUAUUUGUAGGUUCUGGAUUAUUAGCAAAUAAUUGUUACCACUAAAGUACCUAUUUUUUGCACUGCUAGUCAUUCCUUGGAAUGAUAUUAAUAAAUACCUACAAUUUACUUAUAAUUUGGCAACAAAAAUGCUAUAAACUGACUGUUAGAUUUGUAUACAAUUUCCUUUGGAUUCUACCCAGUUUACUUUUGGUACUCUUGCAAUGAAACCAAAUAGUAUCAUAGACACAACCUCUGUAGCACAUUUUAGGUGGAAAACACUGUCACAGAAUUUUAACUACCAGAUCUGUUUUAGGCCAUACAGUUUGCUCUUAGUUUUAUCAAGAGAAUUUUUAAGGCUUGCUGCGACACUGCUAUGUGUCCUUUUCAAAAUCUGUUCUUUUCAUUACUUACUUAGAAUAAGAUCUCUCUAAAAUUUUAAAUUAAUAGCACAGAGAGAGAGGCUGGGAAAGCAGCCUUUUUAUGUAAAUGAAACCUCUUAGGUAGUAAAAAAAACCCCAAAAAGCUGAGAAAGUGAUCACACAGUUUAAAUACAGUCAAGAUCUCUGAGCAUAAGAAGAGGUCAGAGCCAGCUGAUAGUAAACCUUGAUCUUCAGCUACCAAAUCUCAAAAUGAAACUCCAAAUGAGUUUGUUAUUGGAGAUGGGGACCAAGCUGAAGAUUGCUCUUCAUCAUAGAAGCAGUAAACUCUAAGAAAAGGAGCUCUUCAGCAGAGUAAACCUCAGAUCUCAACCACAAACUUUUGUGAGAUCAGCAAUCUCUGGAGGAAGAAGCCUCCAGACCUCAGCCAAUUGUCCAAUUGGUCAAAGUGAUAAAGAGCUUCAGCAAGUACCAGGGCCCUGAUAGGAGAGUUGCUGCAGGUCAGGGCCAAACUCCAGUCAGAUAAUUCCCUUGUUGCCAAAAUGUAAACCAGUAAGUGACUGAGGCAGAUCUCAAUUGACUAGAGGUUUAUUUUGCCAAGGUUGAGGACACACUUAGGAAACAGAUGCAAGUUACUGUAGGAUCUGUGAUCCAUGCAUUUUCCAAGUAUGGUUUUGGGAACUUCAAUAUUUAAAUAGGAAAGAGCAAGCGGGGAGGUGGGGGUGGGGUGAAGAAAAAGAGGCAGGAUAGGCAAUGAGGCAAGUGGUUACAUUCUUGUGACGUUUGAUUAGCAUUCAGUGAGUCUAUGUUUUAAAUGUGCAAAGAAGGUAGUAGAAAAAAAGUCACUUAAGCACUAUUCUCAUGCUCAGUACAUCUGCAUUUUACAUAAAAUAAAGCAUGUGAAAUUGCAGCUAUCUGUUUGGGAACAGAAAGCUCCCCUUCUUACUCACCACGGGGAUUGCUUUAAGAGUACUUGGGUGUCUUCCAGCUAGUUUUCCAUUCCAACCGUCGCUCCAGCAACCCUUUGACCUGGAUUCGAGCCUCCACGAAUGGACGCCACUUGCCGAGACCAGCUCGCUCGGGGAGACUCUAACCCAAUGGAGCUAGAGGAAUUAAGGACAUACACACAGAAAUACAGAGGUGUGAAGUGGGAAAUCAGGGGUCUCACAGCCUUCAGAGCUGAGAGCCCCGAACAGAGAUUUACCCACAUAUUUAUUAACAGCAAACCAGUCAUUAGCAUUAUUUCUAUAGAUAUUAAAUUAACUAAAAGUAUCCUUUAAGGGAAAAGAAGGGAUGGGCCAAAUUAAUUGCAGCAGGAACAAGCCCUUAAGACACAGAUUGCUCAGCUUUUGUUUGUGGCUUAAAAAUGCCUUUAAGCAGUUUUCCACCUUGGGUGGGCCAGGUGUUCCUUACCCUCAUUCCCGUAAACCCACAACCUUCCAGCAUGGGUGUUAUGGCCAUUAUGGACAUGUUACAUUGCUGCAGAGAUUUUAUUUAUGGCCAGUUUUGGGGUCAGUUUAUGGCCAGACUUUGGGGGGCUUGCUCCCAACAGUUUUAAAUGUGCAAAGAAGGUAGUAUAAGAAAAAGUUACUUAAGCACUAUUCUCAUGCUCAGUAAACCUGCACGUUACAUAAAAUAAAGUAAGCAUGUGAAAUGGCAGCUAUCUGUUUGGGAACAAAAGGAAGAUAGUUUUUUGCAUGACUCAAUUCCCAAGCUUAACUUUCCCUUUGGCAUAAUGAAUUUGGGGUCCCAAGGUGUUAUUUUUCUUUCACAGGAGAAGGUGUUUUAAAUUUUGCUCAUAAGAGUACACUUUACUCAGGCUGGCCAUGGUGGCUCAAACCUGUAAUCCCAGUACUUUGGGAGGCCAAGCUGGGCGGAUCACUUGAGGUCAGGUUUUCGAGACCAGCCUGGCCAACAUGGUGAAACCAGAUCUUUACUAAAAAUACAAAAAUUAGCUGGGCAUGGUGGCAGGUGCCUGUAACCCCAGCUACUCAGGAGGCUGAAGUGAGAGGAUCACUUGAACCUGGGUGGCAGAGGUUGCAUUGAGCUGAGAUUGUGCCACUGCAUUCCAGCCUAGGUGACAGUGCGAGACUCUGCCUCAAUUAAAAUAUAAAUAUAUAUAUAUAUAUAUAUAUAUAUAUAUAUAUAUAUAUAUACUUUACUCAAAUGUUAAAAGCUGUAAAUAGCUUAAAAGAUAAAAAAGGUUUCUUGACUCUGAAAAACAAAAUCAGCAAAUGUUUUAAACAAAGAGUCAUAAAAGAUUAUUUCAAUUGUCUGUUAGUUCAGUCCAUGCAGUUAACUUCUGGUCAAUAUUGGAUCAGGAAUCCUCAUGAAAACAUCAGCUCUCCAUGAGAGUCCUGGAAGAUUUUCUCUCCAUUUCAAUUACACGGUCUCUAAAUGUGAAUUCCACAAAGUUCUAUAGCUGAUUAUAAACCACACUAUGAAAGGAUCAAAGUAAUCAACAAUUGUAGAUGACAAAAGUUGUAGAGCAGCCAUAGUUAGAGACACAACUGACAAGGAAAUUUGGUUACUUUUGUGGCAUAUGACAAUUUUACACAUAAUAAUCGUAAUUACUACUGACAACAUAUAUUGAGACAUAUCAGAAUCACAGGAAUAUUCUAUGAUUUUAGGACACACACUAAUAACACAUUUAUGUAAAUAUAACCCAAAGUAGGUUAAACACCAUUUCAUAUUUAACAAUGCUUCCUGUAUAAUUUUUUUCUGUAGAAAAUAAGCCAAAUAUGUCUGUUUUGGACUUCAGGGGACCUAAUAUCAAAACAUUAGUGAGGUCAAAAGGACUGAAUUUAGUAUUUGAUUUUAGAAAGUUUGUCAAAUAUGAAAAGUUUAAAACACAGGAUAUCACGAAAUAGGAUCACAGGUCAUUGUAAAAUAAAUAAGUCAUUCAUUUAGCCAAAAUGAUAACUCAAAGAUGUAAAAAUAAAUGGCCAAACCCUUUAUACUUUGAGACAGGAGACUUAAUUUCCCAAACAGUAAGCUCUAAUAAAGAUAGCAUUAGGUCAAGACCAAUUAAAUGUCUCUCAAAUCUUAUAAAUAAAUCUACUAAAUUUUAAACAACUUGACUAAAAGAUAUAAUUCAAUAAGCCUUUUUAUAACCUUUUAUAUUUUUUAAAAAAGUGGAUUAAUGCUCCACAAAAGCCAUAUUAAUCUGACACAGGGGCCCAGUUGCUGGUCUUGCAUCAGUGUACCUUUGAUACUAAUGUUUAAUUUAUAGAGAAACCCUGAACUAAUUUUCUUUCUCAAAAUUGGCCCUUACAAUCUCACGUGCUCACCUCUUCUGCAGUAGUCCCUGGGAUUGGGGAGUUGAAGAGUUUUAAUUUCUGUCCCUGUGUCUUAUUAUAAACACACUUUGUUUUGACUGUCAUCUUCUCCUGGGUCUGAAGAUGAGGCUUUAACUGCUGUCAAUGUUUAAAAGUUAGCAGGGUUUGGUGUCUUUUUCAGACCCAGGAAUCAAUGGAGUCAAAGCCCUGUAACUUAACAGCACAAGGAUUUCAAAAGCAACACAAAGUUAAAUAGAUGUAAUAAUGAGAGGUGACAGCGUGCUGGCAGCCCUCACAGCCCUCGCUCACUCUCGGCACCUCCUCGGCCUUGACGCCCACUCUGGCCAUGCUUGAGGAGCCCUUCAGCCCGCCACUGCACUGUGGGAGCCCCUUUCUGGGCUGGCCAAGGCCAGAGCUGGCUCCCUCAGCUUGCGGGGAGGUGUGGAGGGAGAGGUGUGGGCGGGAAUCGGGGCUGCGCGCAGCAAUUGCGGGCCAAUGCCAGUUCCGGGUGGGCGUGGGCGCCGGCCCGCACUCGGAGCAGCAAGCUGGCCCCGCUGGCCGGGGCAGUGAGGGGCUUAUCACCUGGACCAGCAGCUGCUGUGCUCAACUUCUCCGAGGGCCUUAGCUGCCUCCCUGUGGGGCAGGGCUGGGGACCCGCAGCCCACCAUGCCUGAGCUUGCUCCCGCCCCAGCCGUGGGCUCCUGCCCAGCCCCAGCCUUCCUGAGGAGCCCCGCCCGCUGCUCCAGGGCGCCCAGUCCCAUUGACCACCCAAGGGCUGAGGAGUGCAGGCGCAUGGCACGGAACUGGCAGGCAGCUCCACCUGUGGCCCUGUUGCGGGAUCCACUGGGUGAAGCCAGCUGGGCUCAUGAGUCUGGCGGAGACUUGGAGAACCUUUAUGUCUAGCUAAGGGAUUGUAAAUACACCAAUUGGCAGUCUGUAUCUAGCUCAAGGUUUGUAAACACACCAAUCAGCACACUGUGUCUAGCUCAGGGUUUGUGAAUGCACCAAUCGACACUCUGUAUCUAGCUACUCUGGUGGGGACUUAGAGAACCUUUGUGUCCACACUCUGUAUCUAGCUAAUCUAGUGGGUAGGUGGAGAACUUUUGUGUCUAGCUCAGGGAUUGUAAACGCACCGAUCAGCACCCUGUCAAAACGGACCAAUCAGCUCUCUGUAAAACAGACCAAUUGGCUCUCUCUAAAAUGGACCAGUCAGUAGGAUGUGGGUGGGGCCAUAUAAGAGAAUAAAAGCAGGCUGCCUGAGCCAGUAGUGGGAACUUCUGGCUUUGAGUCCCCUUCCACACUGCGGUGUUCUUUCGCUCUUUGCAAUAAAUUUUGCUGUUGCUCACUCUUUGGGUCCUCACUGCCUUUAUGAGCUGUAACACUUACCACGAAGGUCUGCAGCUUCACUUCUGAAGCCAGUGAGACCAUGAAGGCACUGGCAGAAACAAACGACUCCAGACGCACCACCUUAAGAGCUGUAACACUCACCGCGAAGGUCUGCAGCUUCACUCCCGCGAAGGUCUGCAGCUUCACUCGUGAUCCAGCAAGACUACGAACCCACCAGGAGGAAGAAACUUUGAACACAUCCGAAUGUCAGAAAGAACAAACUCUGGACAUGCCGCCUUUAAGAACUGUAACACUCACCGCGAGGGGCCGCGGCCUCAUUCUUGAAGUCAGUGAGACCAAGAACCCACCAAUUCCUGACACAGUAACUUUAACUUUAAAAAUAAAUGUAACUCAGUUUUUGUAAGUAAAUCAAAACUUAAUAACAAUUAUGUAGGACUUAUUUCGAUAAAACAUAAAUCUUUUUUGUUAGUCUAGUUACUAAAAGUCAAACAAAGAAAAAAAAAAAACACCCUCUGCAGUGUGACUGCUUUUCCAUAUAGGGAGUCUAUUUAGAGAACCUGAAAGUCAAAACUAAUGAAAAUGUAUUUGAACUAGUUAGACAUAGGAAGAGUGUUUCCUGGGUUACAGGAAACAUUAAGUGAACAUUUUUGGUUUCAUAGAACAAUUUAAAGCCAAAGCACAGAAUGUUAUACUGGGAGAAAAUAUUUCCUUUAUAACUUUAAGAUAAAAUGUUUUAGUAUCAGGCCACAAUAGCAGUUAAAACCUGAACGAAAAAUUUACAGGAGCUGACAAAGUUGAGAGAGAGAGAGAUAUCAUUGCUGUCCUUCUCAAAGGUGAGAUAGCUAAAAACAGCAAGAUGCAAUAUAAAUUGAACUUCUGGUGUAAAAAAAAUGAAAAUCUCAUAAUUUUAUUAAAAUAAUAUGUUAAGAAAGUUUUGUUGUUCUAACCAAUUCCUUAGUGUAUUAGUGUAUUUUUCAUAUAGAUCUCUAGAAAGUCUAUUAUAAAUAAUUUCCUUGUAAUUGUAGACAACUUGAUCACAUAAAAUUUUUUUCACAUAAAUCUUCUUUUUAUAAUCCCUUAUUAUGACAUACACAAACCACUUAUGACAUGUUUGGACUUCCUGUUUUAUUCUAAACAUCCUUCUUUUCUAAAUAACCAGUCAUUUUAUUUUAGGACAAAAAUUUACCAUACAAGAUUCUUUCUCAUAUAAAAUAAUUUUCUUUUUAAUCUUCCUUACACCAGAAUACCUCUUUAUAUUUGUAUCUGUCUUUACAUCUCUCCUAUUUACUGGUUCCUUUUAUCCUGUUUCAUGAAUAACCUUUAAAUUACACAAAAAUAAUUUUCCUUUAAAUAAGAACACUUUUUUUUUUUUUGAGAUGGAGUCUUGCUCCGUUGCUCAGGCUGGAGUGCAGUAGUGCAAUCUCGGCUCACUGCAAGCUCGGCCUCCCAGGUUCACGCCAUUCUCCUGCCUCAGCCUCCUGAGUAGGUCGAACUACUGGCGCCUGCCACCACCCUGGCAAAUUUUUUGUAUUUUUAGUAAAGACGAGGUUUCACCAUGUUAGCCAGGAUGGUCUUGUUCUCCUGACCUCGUGAUCCGCCCGCCUUGGCCUCCCAAAGUGCUGAGAUAACAGGCAUGAGCCGCCACGCCCGGCCAUAAGAACACAUUUUUUAAGAAAAAUGUUUUCCCGGUGGCAGUAGUGGCAGCUGCGACAAAGGCGGAGCUAGCACUACAACUGGCUCCUCGCUCUGGCCUCCGCCAUGGAGCCAGGAGAGAGCCUCCGCCAGCGGCCAGGCAUGAGCUAGACACCGCCAGGGACCCUGGCCUCUUGGGGGCACCGCGCUCACCCAGGGGCUGCACAGGCACCCAGAGCCAAACUCCAAGAUGACAGGCAAACUCAGCAAGAAGAAGGGCUACAAUGUGAACGACGAGAAAGCCAAGGACAAAGACAAGAAGGAUGAGGGCGUGGCAAGGGAAGAGGAGGGUCCCCGAAGGAGAGUGAGCCCCAGGCAGCUGCAGAGCCCGCCGAGGCCAUGGAGGGCAAGAAGUCUGACCAGGACGCGGAGGGCAAGGCCGAGGAGACAGAGGGCAAGAAGGAUGCCACGGCUGCCAAGGAGGAGACCCCGAAGGAAGAGCCCGAGAAGACAGAGAGCGCGCAGAGGCCAAGGCUGACCCCCCGAGAAAGAGCAGGCAGCCCCCGUCCCUGCUAAUGGCGGCGAGGCCCCCAAAGCUGCCGAAGUCACCACGGCCCGGGCCAAGAGCGCGGACCCUACCACUGGGGAGGAGCCCAGCAAGGAGGAAGGGAAACCUAAAAAGACUAAGGCGCCUGCAGCUCCUGCCACCCAGGAGACCAUAAGUGACGGGCUCCAGCAUGAUACGCAAACCGCAGCAGCUCGGAGGCUGCCCCCUCUUCCAAGGAGACCCCCCGCAGCCAGGAAGCCCCUAGUUCCACACCCAAGGCCCGGGCCCCCACAGCCUCCGCAGAAGAGCCCAAGCCGGCGGAGGCCCUGGCAGCUAAUUCCGAUCAAACUGUAGCCAUGAAAGAGUGACAAGGACAGCCUAUGGGAAAAAUAAUACCACUUAAAACAGUCUCCCCUCUCUCAAUCUUUUCUCUCUCUCUCCUCUCCUUUCUCUCUCUCCUCUCUCUCUCUCUCCUCUCCUCUCUCUCUGCCUCUCCUCUCCUCUCUCUCUCCCUCUUAUACUAACUUGUUUCAAAUUGGAAGUAAUGAUAUGUAUGCCCAAGGAAAAAUAAAGGAUGUUGUCCCAUCAAGGGAGGGAGGGAGUGGGAGAAUGCAAAUAGUAUUUUUGUGGGGAAAUAUCUAAUAUAGCUUCAGUCAACUUUACCAAGAAGUCCUGGAUUAACUCAGGAUUUAGCUGUUUUCAUUAAAUCAACGAUAUCAAAUGCCCUAUUUAUCAACAAAUUACACCAACAAAUAUAGUACUCUUGUGGGCUGCAUUUCUAGCUUUAUAAACCUCAUGCCAAAUUUUGACAACUUAUAAUAUCUAGUAGAGGUAAAUGUUAAACUGCCUGACCAAUGACUCUAAACAACAAUGUAUAUUGACAAUUCUGAAGAUAUUUCUAAUUUUAUUUUACCAAUAACUUUAAAACCAGCUUAUUUAUUAAGAAUUUACUUAAGUUACAUAAACUUGAAAAAGCAUUUGGGCUUAAGGUUUCUAUUUUUCUAAUAAAGUAUUUGAUUUAAGCCCCUUUUUUCCCUUUAAGGCCAAAUAAUUAGAGCUGUUUUAUAUAUCUUUGAUAAUGAAACAUAUACAUGACACAUAAAUACAGACAUGUAUUAGACACACAGGUAGAAAUAGAUCUUAGAUUUGUAAGACCUCCUCUUUUUUCCCCUCUUAUUUUAGACUUCCAAUUUUUUUUUUUUUUAGAUGCAGUCUCACUCUGUGGCCCAGGCUGGAGUGCAGUGGCGUGAUCUUGGCUCACUGCAACCUCCAUCUCCUGAGUUCAAGCAAUUCUCCUGUCUCAGCCUCCUAAAUAGUUGGAAUUACAGGCAAGCACCACCACGCUCAGGUAAUUUUUGUAUUUUUAGUAGAGACAGGGUUUUGCCAUGUUGGCCAGGGUGGUCUUGAAUUCCUGGCCUUAAGUGAUCCGCCAGCCUUGGCCUCCAAAAGGGCUGGGAUUACAGGCACGAGCCACCUUGCCUGGCUCCAAUUUCUUGAUAAUUUGUUUCAUUACCCUAGGCAAUUGUCAGGUAGAUAGCCCUAAAUUUGUAUACCGAAGGAACAACUCUCAGGUGAAAAUCAGCAAAAUUUACUUCUCAAAGGAAAGAGAGAGAGAGAAUCUGUUGUGUUAACAGGGUGAUUAAAAAAUGGAUACCAAGUCAAACAUAAAAUUACAGAAAUCUACCACAGGAUUGUAUAAAGAGACCAAUCACACUUAGAUAGUUUUAAACGUAGUCUCUGUUUUAACUGGAUCUCUGAGCUCUGAGCACAGCCCACAUUCAAUCCUGGGUCUCCAAAAAGGAGAGAGAAAUCAUGGGACUAGGCCACAUAAUGCUUUUAUGGUGUUACUUUGUUACAAAGAUGUUGCUUGAGUGUCUAAGCACCCUUUCUUAUUCUAAACUCCCAAGAGUAGCCCCUGUAAUAAUAACUAUUUCAGUUAAAAAAAAUCAGAAAACAAAAUAUAGAAGCAAGGAGUUUAAGAUCUGAGAGGAACUUGUUUAUACUCUUAGGGUUCCAUAAGGAAAAACAGAGGUUUUGCCCCCAGAAGGAGUCUGGCAUCUUCUCUGUUUUCUUUAAGGAAUCCCAGCUCCAAUUUCUUGAUAAUUUGUCUCAUUACCAUUGUUAAAAUUAUUUCCAGUGCCUCAUGCAGCAGAGGGUGGGAAGAGAAAGGAGAGACAGGCAGAAGUAAAUAGAAAAAGCAGAAUUCAGUUGACUGAGAAGAAAAAAACUUUUUUACAAAAACACGUUCCUAGAAGACAAAAAAACAUAAAGUCCUUUUACAUACACACACACACACACACACACACACACACACACGGAUUGCGGAUACUAUCUUUUAAUUAAGCUGCCUUUUAACUGUUGAGGUCUUAAAAAAUCCUUUUAAAUAUUAUUACCAUAUUUUAGCUGGGAAAAGCUGCUGAUAUUUCAAAGGUAAAAUAAAUCUCAAACCAGAAAGGACUUGAUUCAUAACCAACCAACCCAGGCUGUCAUGCUAAAAAAAAGGGCAGAAUCUUUGCUGCUGAACUACUGCAUAGGGUGACUACCAUUGCUCCUUUAGUUUAGUUUGGCUAGCAGAAGGUGGUCUUGCCAUGUAAAUAAAGCCUCUCAGGUAAUCAAAAUGUUUCUUUUUUUACUUUUGCUGGUGUUUUUUUCUUUUCUUUUUUUUUUCAGCUACAGGAAUUUAGCCAAUUCAGAGGAAAUCUUCCCCAUAAUUAUGGAACUUUCUUACAGAUUUUACCAAGUCUGGUCAACCCAAUAAGAAAAAGACUGAAAUAACAACAACAACUUCAACAAAUAAAAAAAAACAGUUAAGCUAAAUAAACAGAUGAUUGCAGAAUUUAUGUGAUUACUGGGUACUCUAAUGGUAAGGAGAAAUUAAGACCAGCUAGUUGUUAAUCUUAACUUUUAGUCAUUAAGGAGAAUUUCCAAGACAAAACUGCAAUCCAGCUGCUUACCUAGGAAUACGGCUUAGGCUGAAAACUUCUAUCGUCUUAGAAAUGGGAAUAAACCUCACACUCACCGUCCCUGUUGGAAGCAAGCUGAAACUCCAAAAAAAAAGUUGCCUGUUGUCCAUCAUCAUGGUGAAGCGGCGUCGUUGUCUGGGGUAAGUACCUGGGGUUCAUUGUCUCGUACCAAGAUUAAGGACAGAGUUCCCUCCAUUGUUCAUUGAUUUGUAAACCAAAAUGUAUCUGUGACAGGUAUUAAUCAAUUGAGAAGAGUUUUUUAUUUUUAUUUAUUUAUUUAUUUUUUGCCAAGGUUCAGGACAGAUCCAGGUGUCUUUCUCCAAAGAUGAUUAUGAUGGUGUUAAUAUUUAAAGGGGAAAGUGGCCUAGAGGGGAACAAGGGAGGGUAUGAUCAUAUUACUGUAUCCACAUGUUGCAGGAGAAAUGGAGCAGGUACAGGAAUAGUCAAUUAUGUGUUCUUCUCAUGCUCAGUAAAUCAGAACUUUACAUAAGUUCAGGUGAACAUAGAGUAGCUACCUGGGGAGAUAUUUCACCUUUUUAUCUGUAGUGCUCUGCUUAAGAACAAAGGAAAAAACAGCUUCUUGCAUGAUUCAGCUUUUAGCUUAAUUUUUUUCCUUUAGGCAUAGUGAAUUGGGGUCCCAGGUUUUUAUUUUUCUUUCACAAAUUAAAACUGAUAUUUAGACUAUUUCUCGGUCCACUAAAUUUCUCUCAUCCUAAACUCCUGCUAACCACAUGUACUCUCUCUGUUCAUUUCCCUAUUUAUUUAUAUCAGCACUUCCUUCUUCUUGCCAACUUCGGUGCCACAUAAGGGAAAAACAACAGAAAUCUAACACCCUGGGAUACCUUCAGAGAAAACAGAAAAGACACUGCAGACUUCUUUUUGGGAGAAACUCCUGUGUUUUUUUUUUGUUUGUUUGUUUGGUUGGUUGGGUUUUUUUGUGUUUUUUUUUGUGUUUUUUUCUAUCAGGGAGUCCUAAGAACUGUAAACGAACAUGUUAGCACUAGAGAACAUAUCCUAGUCAUGUGGCACCAAAGUAUGUUACUGGUGGCAAAUGCAUACACGUCUGCAGCAACCUCAAUUCCUGCCUGCUCAGAAGAAAGAAUUCAGCUGAGGGGCAUAAGGCACAGUGAGAGACUGAGGCAAGUUUUAGAGCAGGAGUGAAAAUGUACUAAACAGUAUUAGAGCAGGAAUGAAAGGAAGUAAAGUACACUUGGAAGAGGGCCAAGUGGGCAACUUGAGAGGUUAAACUGCAUGGUUUGAGUUUUGAUUUGAGGUUUUACGUGUUGGCAUGCAUUCAGGGGCUUGUGUCCCUUCUCCCCUGAUUCUUCCCUCCGGGUAGGAGGGAAGAAUCCACCUGAGCAGUGGCCUGCCAGCACUUGAGAGGCUCCGCAAGCACAAGUGUGUUUAUGGGAGUUGUGCACAUGCUCAGUUGAGGCAUUCUUCCCUUACCAGUCGAGUGUUUCUAGAGGAAGGUCAUAGACUAAUAGUCUAAUAGUCUAUGACCUUUAGUCAUACUAGUGCACAUGCCUGAGCCCACUCACCUGUGAACCCCCAAAAUUUGAGACAGGUCUCAAUUAAUUUAGAAAGUUUAUUUUGCCAAGGUUGAAGACAUGCCCAGUGACAUAGCCUCAAGAAGUCCUGAUGACAUGUGCCCAAGGUGGUCCGGCCACAGCUUGGUUUUAUACAUUUUAGGGAGACAUGAGACAUCAAUCACUAUGUAAGAAGUACAUUAGUUCCGUCCGGAAAGGCGGAGACAGCUCAAAGCAAGACCCCCUAUUGGGGGCUUCGAAGUAACAGGUAGGUGAGAGACAGAUGGUUGCAUUCUUUUGAGUUUCUGAUAAGUCUUUCCAAAGGAGGCAAUCAGAAUAUGCAUCUGUCUCUGUGAGCAAAUGGAUGACUUGAAUAGAAUAGAAGGCAGAUUUGCCCUGAGCAGUUCCCAUCUUGAAGGGACCCAAGAUAUUUUUCUUUCACAUUUUCCCCUUUUCUUUUUUAACAUCUUUGGAGAAAGCAUUUUUACAACAGAAUGAGUCUCCAGUCUCAGGAAAGGUCAUCUGACCUUUCCUGGCUAGGACGGUUUAUUCCUAGAUUGGUAGGUCUGGAAAGUUCAUUUUUAGCAGGUUGUGAAGUCUCAUGUCCUGUGAAGAGAAAAUAUGGGGGAGGAAGGGAUGAAAAAAACAACAAACAAAAGAACAAUCCUGAAAAAAUUGAUAUAGGCCACAUUACUCUGCAGUCCAUAAUAGUAGGCAGGUAUGAAAGUGGCUUAUGUACGUAAAUAGGUUAUGUUAUAUUUUUCUGAAGUUUAAGUUGUCUGGCUUCAGUUCCCAGGGUUUUUAGAAAGCAUAGCUUAGUUUUCAGUGACUCCAAAUUGGGAAAAAUUGAGAAAAAAAAAAGAAGGAAAAAAAUUGAAAACAUUAUUUUGAAGGCUUGUAGCCAAGAAAAAUUAGAAUUCAGUCCAAACUCUAGAAAAAUAAUAAAAAUUGAAAAAAAAUAGGCAAGACUAGACUCUAACAACAGGUGUACAAUUGUUUUAGAAGAUAAUUUGUUUUUCUCUCUUCAGUUUCGCAUAUUACUAAAGACAAAUCAUGGUAGGAUUGGUUUGUUUAUUAUACUUGGCCUAACUAUUUGUAUACAAUGCAGCAAGAAUGAUUAUUUUUUACUUAGGCUUUUAAGUAGGCUCUGAUGGAACUUUGUUCCAUAGCAGGAAUCUCAGAUAAGACUUUGUAAAACCCGUAAAACCCAGCCGAGCCAUGGAUUUAUGCCAUUAAAUACCCAUGAGUUGGGUGAAAUUUCCUCUCCUUUUGAGGGCCCAAGAUAAACCUGGGGCGUCUGCACUUGUCAAAAAGUGAUAUUCUUUACUUACACAGUCAGAAACCCUGUUCAGGGACUGUGUAUACAGAAUAUGAGGCCAGUUUUUCCAAGGGCUUUAUUGGCUCCGUAAGUCAAGUUUGAUUCCUUAUAAGGAAAGCACAUGAUUCCAGUCAAAGCCUUGGUAAAAUAACCAAAUUCUCCAAAUGUGUCCUGUUACAAAUGAAAACAGAUUCUUACUGCACUUAUGCAAAUAACUGUAUUGCCAUAAGUUAAGAAUACUCACAAAUAGUUUCCAAAUUCUGGAUAAAUCAGAUAGAAACAACUAUGCCACAAAUUUUGUUCAUAGGAGUAUACUAAAUUGUUAAAAUCUGUCAGUAGCUCAAAAGAAAAGUCAUAAGACUCGGAAACGCAAAACAAAGGACCAGCAAAUAUUUUGAGCAAAAAGUAAAAAAGAUUGGUUCAGUCCAUGCAGUUAAUUCCUGUUAAUUCCUGCUUGAUACUCAUGAACAUUUAGCUCUCCAUGAGUCCUGAAGGUUCUUCCUCUAUUCUGUUGUCACAAUCUCCAAAGUUAUCAGAAACCUGCAUUCAAGAGCACCUAUUGGAGUUUUAUAGCUGAUUAUAAAACCACCUCCUAAAGAGGACCAAAACAAGACAACAAUUGUCCAUGGAUGAAAAAAAGUUGUUUUUGAGACGGAGGCUCCCUGAGUCGCCCAGGCUGGAGUGCAGUGGUGUGAUCUCUGCUCACUGCAAGCUCUGCCUCCCAGGUUCACCCCAUUCUCCUGCCUCAGCCUCCUGAGUAGCUGGGACUACAGGCACCCGCCACCAUGCCAAGCUAAUUUUUUUCUAUUUUUAGUAGAGAUGAGGUUUUCACCGUGUUAGUCAGGAUGGUCUUGAUCUCCUGACCUCGUGAUCGCCUGUCUCAGCCUCCCAAAGUACAGGGAUUACAGGCGUAAGCCACCAGCCCGGCUGAAAAAAAAAGUUUUAAGGCAGCCAUAGUCGAAAGGCACAAUUGACAAGGAAAUUUGUUGCCUCUGUGGCACACAAUAAUUUUAACAUAACAAUUAUGAUGCCGGGUAUUUGGUGCCUGGCACAAGACUUUUUUUCUUAUAUAAAAUUAUUUUUCUUCAAGCUUUUUUUACCUCAGAAAAAUACCUCUUUAUUUUUACAACUUUCUUUACAUAUUUUUUAUUUCCUGGUUCCAUUUACCUUGUUUUAUACAUAAUGUUUAAAUAAGCUUUGAAUUAGACAUAAAUUUUUCACUUUUCUUUUUAAAAGGACACACUUCUCUGUUUUUGUUUUUUUUUUUUAGCAAGAAUGUUUUCCUGCAAUAUAUAUUUAUUGGAAAAUACCCAAGUAAUGAAACAUCUAUUAUUUAAUUUAAUAUAACUUUAUAUUCUAAAUUAUGACCAGUUUGUCUACAAGUAUUUUUCCCAUUACAUUUGCCUAAUUAUCUAUUUUAAUUAUUUACCUAGAUUAUUUAUGAAUACUGUAAUAGUCAUGAAUUUAAAGUUAUGAAACUGCUAUUGAAAAAUUAUAACCAGCCAGGCAUAGUGGCUCACGCCUGUAAUCCCAGCACUUUGGGAGGCUGAGGCAGGUGGAUCACGAGAUCAGGAGAUCGAGACCAUCCUGGCUAACAUGGUCAAACCCUGUUUCUACUAAAAAUACAAAAAAUUAGCCAGGCGUGGUGGCGGGGUGUCUGUAGUCCCAGCUACUUGGGAGGCUGAGGCAGGAGAAUGGCAUGAACCCGGGAGGCAGAGCUUGCAGUGAGCCAAGAUCGCACCACUGCAUUGCAGCCUGGGCGACUGAGCGAGACUCUGUCUCAAAAAAAAAAAAAAAAAAAAAAAAAAAAAAAAGAAAGAAAAAUUAUAACUGAGACAGUGAAAAAAGAUUUGAUCUAGGCCGGGCACGGUGGCUCAUGCCUGUAAUCCCAGCACUUUGGGAGGCUGAGGUGGGUGGAUCACCUGAGGUUGGGAGUUUGAGACCAGCCUGACCAACAUGGAGAAACCCCGUCUCUAUUUAAAAAAAAAAAGAAAAAAAAUGCAAAAUUAGCCUGGCAUGGUGGUGCAUGCUGUAAUCCCAGUUACUUGGGAUGUAGCAGGACAAGCUGCAGGCAAAACCUCUCAGACACCGAGUUGUAGAAGGAAGGGCUUUAUUCAGCUGGGAGCAUCAUCAAGCUACUGCCUCAAAAUCUGAGCUCCCCGAGUACACAAUUUCUGUCCCUUUUAAGGGCUCACAACGCUAAAGAUUUCACAUGAAAGGGUCGUGAUUGAUUUGAGCAAGCAGGGGGUACGUGACAGGGGCUCCAUGUACUGGUGGUCAGAGAAACAGAACAGGGCAGGGAGUUGCACAAUGUUCUUUUAUACAAUGUUGGGAAUCUAUGAGUAACAUCGGUUUCUAAGUUAUGAGUUGAUUUUUAACUACUGGGUUUAGGCCAGGCAGGCCCAGGCCUGGUUUUGGGCCUGGCAUCAGGCUGCCUGUCUUUGAUUUCAUGUCCUUGUUUUUUUUCUUUAAACAGGUACUGAGUAUAAAACAAUAUGAGAGGGUCUCUCUCUUCCCUCAUUUCCCCCUUUGAGACUCUCACUUUUUAUUAGUGGGAGUUCUCACUCUUAUUUUUGCUACUUAUGUCUUUUUGUGCAAUAAAUUGAUAGUUAUUCAUAUAGUACACUUGUGCUGAAGCAUUUUGGUGAACUAAGGUAGUGAUGAAGCUUUUUAUCAUUUGAAGAAGUACAGGUAGUAAACAAGGGAGCAGUAAGCAGGUUCUUAUUACUAUUAUAACUUUUAUUAUAAGAGUUUUAAAUUCUCCUAGUGCUGGGAACUAAUUUUUAAACAUGGCUUCAGGGCCAAAUUCGUGCCACACUUGUACAGGCACAUGUGUCAGUUUUGUCAUAUUUUUAACUAUGUCUUUAACUACUUGCCUUUGAUUAUCUAUGUAUAGACAGUAAUUAGUAAGGUUAAAUGUCUUAUAGACCUCUCUUUCAGCUGCUAGCAAGUAGCUGAGAGCCAAUCUAUUUUGAUAGAUAGCAUUUUUUAUCUGAGUUUCUUGCCGGGCCAGAAUAGUCAAGGCUUGACCAGUUUUAUUAGUGAUGAUUUCUGAAACAGCUUGUAACCAUAUGAUUUGGUUGAGCAUGUAGAUGGGGGUCCGAUAUCCCCACGAGCCAUCUUGUGCCCAAGUGGGGGGUCCGUAGUAUUAUAUAAUUUUUUAGGAGGUCAUUCAUCAUCUUUUUAAUUACCUAUGGCUAUGCUUCAUUUUUCAUGAGAAGCAUAGAUAGGGAAGCCCAGGAGUUCACCUGUUUUUAUGGGCAGUAAAAAGAAAGAUGGUUUAAUGGUGCCAAUUACACAGCUACCUGUCCACCGAUCAGGCAGCUUAGCAUAAGCUCUGUGUCCACAUAUCCAGUAUAACCCGGUGGGGGCAGCCCAGUCCCGGUGAAAUUCUGGGUGAGCCCAGACAGUCUGCAACCUUGGAAAUUUACUGAAUGGAUCUCUUUCUGUGUAAUUGGAGCUCCACCAUGUAACUGUUUUGUGUGUGUGUGGUACUAUUAUAGUUUUUGUCCUAGGCAACUAAGUCAUCCUACAGAAUGAGUGAAUUCUUUUUUUUUUUCUAGCUAUGCAAUAUUGUCCAAUAAUUGAAACUUUUAGAACCUAGAAAUGAUCAGGGUGAUUCUUUUGGGCUGAGAAUUCAUCAGGAACUGGGUCUGUAGGCACUAAUUCUCAGGCUUCUUAUGGCCAUUGAUCUCUUAUUACAGUUGUUUUACAAACAUAAUAUGAAGUGACAUUUAGAGACUGGGCUACGUGCUCGGCUAAUUGCAAAAACAAAUUUUUGAUUUUUCCUGGAGUCUCUGGUACUGGCACAUUUAGUUCAUCAUAGAAAGUCUGAAAUACUGGUUCUGGAGAGUGUCUUUGAACCUCUCCUUUUAUUAGGAUGUUCACGCUAGGAUCUAGUCCCUUUCCAUCAAUGCCUAAAGAUACAUAUUUUCCUUUAUUACAUUCUGGUUCUGAGGGGUUUGUGAUUAUCAUUUCUAAAAGGUUGCAGCUCCCACUUGUGCAGGAGGGGCUGACUUUUCCUUUUUGGAGCCAAACAGGAUCUUUUUUAUCUUCUGUUCAAGUAGCCCAGAUGACACAAGACCAGUAUUGACACAUCUCACAUAUGAUUCUGGACAGAUAUACCUAUUUUUUUUUUUACCGUGUAACUUUUUUUUCCAAUUUAGAGAACCGCAUCCUAUUCCAUGCUGCUUACUAUCAAUAGUGGCACAAGCGUCAAAUUUUAAGGUUACAUUUUUGGGACCCCUUUUUCUUCUGUUCUAGCUAUUACUUUACUUGUGUCACUUAGAGAAUGACCAGUUCUCAGUCCUACUUCAAAGACUGUGAUCAUAGGAGGUUCAAAGGGGUCAUAGCACACAUCGGGCUGGUCACUUCCUGGAUUACAUACUUUGUAUUGGGUGUUAUUAUACAAACAGGUUCCUUUUGGAGUUCCUAGGCAUUCAUAAUAACUAUAAAAUAAUAGGACUGUAGCAAUCUUUUGUCCUACUUCAGUGACUUGAUGUAUAUACUGGAAACAGCCUUCAGUCUGAGGAAGGUCAGUUGAAGUCCUUACUAUACAAGUCCAAAUUUUAAGGAAAAUGAGUCCCGCGAUGAGUUUCCUCAUGUUUUGGCCGUGCGUGGACCAGUCAGCUUCCGGGUGCGACUGGAGCAGGGCUUGUCGUCUUUUUCAGAGUCACUUUGCAGGGGUUGGCGAAACUGCUCCUAUCCACAUACAGCUCGCAGUCUACUGAUGUUUAAGAACCCAAUUGGAGACGUUGGAUAUUUUAUCAAGUCUUUGACUGGAAUGACAUUUUUUCAGAAAUAACCAGACUGCUUUGAGGAAUUAAAAUUGACUUUAAGGGCUGAGAAAAACCCCUUGGAAAAACUGGCAUGGUACCCUCUGCAUGCAAUUCCUUUACAAAGCUCCUGACCUGUGUUCUGAAGGCUGGGAAGUCCAAGAUUAAGGCGUCAACAGGUCUUGUGUCUGCUGAGGGCUGUCUCCCUGAUUUGCAGAUGUCUGCUUUCUUGCUGUGUCCUCACAUGGGAAAAAGAGAGAGAAUUUGCUGGUAUUCCUUUUUAUAAGGACACUAACCCCAUUCAUGAGGGUCCCACCCUCAUGACCUCGCCUAAACCUAUAACCUCCAAGGACUCCAUUUCCAAAUACCAGCAACCACAUGUGUGAGCUUAGAAGAGGAUCCUUCCCCAGGUGAGCCUUGAGAUGACCCUGGCCUGUGACUUGAUGGCAGCUUUUGAGAGACUGAGCCAGAGGCCUCCAGGUAAGCCCUUCUCAGAUUCCUGAACCACAGAAACUGUGAGAUAAUCAAUUUUAUUGAUAUCUUGUGGAUAUUGAUAUCCCCAGUUUUAUUGUGGAAUAGAUAACUGCCACACAGCUCCUGACAACUGGCAUCUUGACACAUGUUCUGUGCUCCAGGUCCCAGUAACUGUGCCCAUCCAUUGUUACCACAGGUCACAGUGGCCCUGGCCCUGGGGCAUUAUACUCUCUCUUGGUGUAUUAGUCCAUUCUUAGGCUGCUAAUAAAGAUAUAUCUGAGACUGGGUAAUGUAUAAAGAAAAAGAGGUUUAAUGGACUCACUGUUACAUAUGGCUGGGGAGACCUCACAAUCAUGGAGGAAGGUGAAGGAGGAUCAAAGGCACAUCUUACAUGGUGGCAAGACAGAGAGCAUGUGCAGGGGAAUUGCCCUUUAUAAAACCAUCAGAUCUCAUGAGACUUAUUCACUAUCAUGAGAACAGCAUGGGAAAAACCCGCCCGCAUGAUUCAAUUACUUCCCACUGAAUCCCUCCCAUGACACAUGGGGAUUAUGGGAGCUGCAAUUCAAGAUGAGAUUUUGGGGGAAGGGCAUAGCCAAACCAUAUCAUUCUUCCCUGGGCCCCUCCCAAAUGUCAUGUCCUCACAUUUCAAAAUACAAUCAUGCCUUCCCAACAGUCCUCCAAUGUCUUAACUCAUUUCAACAUUAACCCAAAAGUCCAAGUCCAAAGUCUCAUCUGAGACAAGGCAAGUCCCUUUCGCCUAUGAGUCUGUAAAAUCAAAAGCAAGUUAGUUAUUUUCUAUAUACAAUGGGGGUACAGGCAUUGAAUAAAUAUUCCCAUUCCAAAUAAGAGAAAUUGGCCAAAACAAAGGGGCUCCAGGCCCCAUGCAAGUCUAAAAUCCAGCAGGGCAGUCAAAUCUUAAAGCUCCAAAAUGAUCUCUUUUGACUCCAUGUCUCACAUCCAGGUCACAUUGAUGCAAGAGGUGGGUUCCCAUGGUCUUGGGUAGCUCCAUCCUUGUGACUUUGCAGGGCACAGCUCCCCUCCCAGCUGCUUUCGCGGGCUGGCAUUGAGUGGCUGUGGCUUUUCCAGGUUCAUGGUGCAAACUGUCAGUGGAUCGACCAUUCUGGGGUCUGGAGGACAGUGGCCCUCUUCUCACAGCUCCACUAGGCAGUGCCCAAUGGAGACUCUGUAUAGGGGCUUCCACCCCACAUUUCCCUUCCACACUGCCCUAGCAGAGGUUCUCCAUGAAGGCUCUGCCCCUGCAGCACACCUCUGUCUGGACAUCCAGGCAUUUCCAUACAUCCUCUGAAAUCUAGGCAGAGGUUUCCAAACUUCAAUUCUUGACUGCUAUGCACCUACAGGCUCAACACACCAUGUGGAAGCUGCCAAAGCUUAGGGCUUGCACCCUCUGAAUCCACGGCCUGGGCUGUACCUUGGCCCUUUUAGCCAUGGCUGGAGCAGCUGGGAUGCAGGGCACCAAGUCUAAAGGCUGCACACAGCAGGCGGGCCCUGGACCCAGCCCAGGAAACCAUUUUCCCUCCCAGGCCUCUGGGCCUGUGAUGGUAGGGGCUGUUGCAAAGGUCUCUGACUUGCCCUGGAAAUAUUUUCCCCAUUGUCUUGGUGAUUAGCAUUUGGCUCCUUGUUACUUAUGCAAAUUUCUGCAGCUGGCUUGAAUUUAUCCUCAGAAAAUGGGUUUUGCUUUUGUGCUGCAUUGUCAGGCUGCAAAUUUUUCAAACUUUUAAGCUCUGCUUCAUCUUGAACACUUUGCCACUUUGAAAUUUCUUCUACCAGAUACUUUAAAUCAUCUCUCUCAAGUUCAAAGUUCCACAGAUCUCUAGGGCAGGGGCAAAAUGUCACCAGUCUCUUUGCAUAGCAAGAGUGACCUUUACUCCAGUUCCCAACAAGUUCCUCAUCUCCAUCUGAGACCACCUCAGCCUGGACUUUAUUGUGCAUAUCACUAUCAACAUUUUGGUCAAAGCCAUUCAACAGUCUCUAGGAAGUUCCAAACUUUCCCACAUUUUCCUUUCUUCUUCUGAGCCCUCCAAACUAUUCCACCCUCUGCCUGUUACCUAGUUCCAAAUUCACUUCCACAUUUUGGGUAUCUUUACAGCGGCACCACACUCUACUGGUACCAGUUUACUAUAUUAGUUCAUUCUCACACUGCAUUAAGACAUACCUCGAGACUGGGUAAUUUAUAAAGAAAAAGAGGUUUAAUGGAAUCACAGUUCCACAUGGCGGGGGAAGCCUCAUAAUCAUGGAGGAAGGUGAAGGAGGAACAAAGGUAUGUCUUACACGGCGGCAGGCAAGAGACCAUGUGUAGGGGAACUGCCCUUUAUAAAACCAUCCAAUCUAGUGAGACAUUCACUAUCAUGAGAACGACAUGGGAAAAACCUGCCCCCAUGAUUCAGAUACCUCCCACUGGGUCCCUCCCAUGACACACAGGGAUUAUGAGAGCUACAAUGCAAGAUAAGAUUUGGGUGAGGACACAGCCGAACCAUAUCACUUGGGAAUUCCCUGCAUCCUACCCAGACCUUUGUAAGCUGGUCUCAGCCUGCCCAAUUUGAAUGUGCUGGUUCUUCCAGAUCCCUGAUGCAUACCAUUGUCUUGGCCAGGCCCAUCACAUAAUGAUUUUGAAUCUUUUGACAGUAUUCACCAUAUAAUAUGGCUACUUGAAGUAAAUGUUUUCUAACCUGUCAUUUAAAGUGAUUUAUGUAUCAUCUAUAUAUCUACAUUGUAAGUUAAAAAAAAUCAACUGGAUUAAUAGGAAAGUAAAUGUCAAAAUAAGUGCAAAGGCAGGUUAGGUCCAAGGUUUUUUAAGUCCAGCAGUUCAGUAAGGCUAAGGCCCUCUUUCUUCUCUGCCAAACUCAAUGUGUGGGCUUGAUCUUCUAGAUCACUCUCUAAAGGUGGCAUGGUCCUUGCAGUUGAUUUAGAUAUAUUUUCAUAUCCUCCAGGCUAGGAAGCAUUGAUAGGCAAAAAAUAAAAUAAUGUACCUUCUUAAGAAUGAAGAUACUGGGGGCCAGGUACAGUGGCUCACGUCUGUAAUCCCAGCACUUUGGGAGGCCAAGGCAGGCGGAUCAUGAGGUCAGGAGAUCAAGACCAUCCUGGCUAACAUGGUAAACCCCAUCUCUACUAAAAACACACACAAAAAAAUUAGCCGGGUGUGGUGGCAGUCACCUGUAGUCCCAGCUACUUGGGAGGCUGAGGCAGGAGAAUGGUGUGAACCCGGGAGGCGGAGCUUGCAGUGAGUGGAGAUUGUGCCACUGCACUCCAGCCUGGGCGAUAGAGCAAGACUCUGUCUCAAAAAAAAAAAAAAAAAAAAAAAAAAAAAGAAUGAAGAUACAUUUUCAGAAGAUUCUUAGUAGAGUAACAUUCAAAUCUGUUUAGCAAGAACCACUUAAUUGCUUGUCUACAUCAAUUAGCUGCAAAGGGAGUGGGGCCCUUAUGAACACAUAAAAGGAAUCCAAACCUGCCUUUUAGAAUCUGUGAAGCAAGCAUGAGUUAAAUAAAGGAGGGUGGAUACCUAAAAAAAAAAUCAAUAUCAUGUCAGAAAGAAAGAAGCAGCUUUGAAUGUCAGGUAGGCAAUAAAUAGUAACUGAUACACUAAAAUCUUUCCAUUUUGUCCUCCGUCCAUCCAUCCAUCCAUCCAUCCAUCCAUUCAUCCAUCUCAUAAUAAACUAAUGCCACAUAAAACUGAAAUCAUGUAUUUGCUAUUUCUUCCCCUUAAAAAUUUUUGAAUGUGACUCAUGUUCACAACACACUGAAUUUAGUGUGCUGGUUUACUUAAUUUUUUUGUUUUUUUCAACAGACUGCUUACUUGUUAAGGUAAGAAGCACCUGUGAGUCUACUACUCAUUGCUUUAACCUGGCCAUAAUUUACAUUUAGCUUUAUAGUCCCCCUACAUUUCAAAACCUUCUCUUCUUCCCACCAAAAGUAACAGUCAUCCCACCACUUUGUUAAUUAACCCAUUUUUAUUUAUGUAUUUUUGUUGCUUCUAUAAUUUUGCCAAUAUAUUUUAUUUCUAACUUUAUAGAAAACAUAUACUAAGCAAUCUUCUUUCCCCACUCAAUAGUAUAUUUCUAAAUAUACUAUUUAGAAAUAUAAUAUAUAUUAUAUUAUAUUUAGAAAUAUAAUAUAUAUUAUAUUAU